rnacentral:rRNA from 1 species
UACGUAGGCAGCGAGCGUUGUUCGGCAUUACUGGGCGUAAAGCGUGUGUAGGCGGUUCCUCAAGUCUGUCGUGAAAUCUCCCGGCUCAACUGGGAGGGUGCGGCGGAAACUAGAGUGCUCGAGUGUGGGAGAGGUAAGCGGAAUUCCUGGUGUAGCGGUGAAAUGCGUAGAUAUCAGGAGGAACACCUGCGGUGUAGACAGCUUACUGGACCACGACUGACGCUGAGACACGAAAGCGUGGGUAGCAAACAGG